GGCAUCGAUGGUUAUUCCAGACUACCAGUAUUUCUACAAGUAAACACAAAUAACUGUGCAGAAACAGUGUUAGCUGCAUUUUUGCAUGCGGUCCAAGAAUAUGGAACUCCAGAAAAAGUAAGAACAGACAAGGGAGGAGAAAAUGUCAAAGUGGCUGAGUAUAUGGUAACCCAGAAAGGACCCAAAAGCUUUAUUGCAGGGAGAAGUGUCCACAAUCAAAGAAUCUGUGUUAGAUCCUGAUGAUGAGACCCAUCUCCUAGCUCUUCAUCUAGUAUUUAAGUCCAGGAUUCAGCAGCAUUUGGAUGUCUUCAGAGAUUCCUUCUGUCGGAGACCUAUUCGAACAGAGGGAAAUCAAACGCCUCUUCAGCUGUGGAUCAGAGGACAGAUACUGGAUCCGUCAUGGUAUCCGCAAAGUGAGAAUGAUCAAUUGAACUUUGGAAUUGACUAUGAUGGUCCAGUGCCAGACCACGUUGAUCCUGACUGCGUGGAAAUACCGCCAACACCAACAUUUCCUAUAAUGGAGGAACACCAUCAGACAAUAUCUGAAAUUACUCACAGAAACUCAUUGUGUUUUGGGAUAGAUCUUUUCCAGGAAAUGGUCCAACUCCUGAGAAGCUUUCAGUAGGCAUAAAUAUAUCAUGGAUUAUUACAUGGUUGAUGGUUUUUAAAUCUCCUCUAAACUUUUGUAAAAUUUUAUGUCCAUCACAGGAUUUAUUACUCCCCCACCGGGAACUUAAGGGGGGCUGUAGUUUGCGUCAAUUCUGUCUGUCGCUAUACUACAGUAAAACACGCUUACAAGAAACUCGCUUACAAUGAAUUCAGUGAUUUUUAAGUCCCCUUAGGUGUCUUUUAUAUGAAAAUCUAAAGUGUAUAAUGAAUUAUGCUUAUAACAAACUAAAAAUCAUGGUCCCCAGAGAUUUGUUAUAACCGUGUUUUACAUAGUAUUUCAUACUGAAAACUUGGCAUGUGGGCACACCAUGGUAAAAUGGUGUGUCUGGUACCAAAAGUAGGACACUGUGACCUUGAUUGUGACCUUGUACCUCUGUAAAGAAAAUCCUUGUUCAAGAUCCAACUCCUAUACCAUUUCAUAAUGGAACUUCACAAUUGGUAUGUAGGUGCACCAUGGUGAGAUGGUUUGUCGUGUACCAAAAGUAGGCCAUUGUGACCUUAACUUUGACCUCUGUGGAAGAAAGAGCAUGUCCAGGCUCAUACGUUUUCAUACUGGAAAUUCAAACCUGGCAUGUGGGUGCACCAUGGUAAGAAAGUACACAUGUAUAUGACACAUACCAAAAGUAGGUCACUGUGACCUUGACUUUGACCUCGAUCAAGGUAUGCCCGGUGGGGGACGUAAUUUUUCAAAUCUUGUUUUCCAUUUAAUUCUUAUUGCUUCAAAAGAAAUAUGAUGUUAAAAGCAAUGCAUACCAAAUAGAUGACAACACACAAAGAAGUUGAUGAAAUCAUUUUAAUAACAGUUAAUGCAUAUGAAAAUUUCUUUC